rnacentral:rRNA from 1 species
UACGGAGGGUGCAAGCGUUAUCCGGAUUCACUGGGUUUAAAGGGUGCGUAGGCGGGCAGGUAAGUCAGUGGUGAAAUCCUAGAGCUUAACUCUAGAACUGCCAUUGAUACUAUCUGUCUUGAAUAUUGUGGAGGUAAGCGGAAUAUGUCAUGUAGCGGUGAGAUGCUUAGAUAUGACAUAGAACACCUAUUGCGAAGGCAGCUUACUACGCAUAUAUUGAUGCUGAGGCACGAAAGCGUGGGGAUCAAACAGG